rnacentral:rRNA from 1 species
UACGUAGGGGGGCUAGCGUUGUCCGGAAUCAUUGGGCGUAAAGCGCGUGUAGGCGGUCCGGUAAGUCCGCUGUGAAAGUCGGGGGCUCAACCCUCGGAUGCCGGUGGAUACUGUCGGGCUUGAGUACGGAAGAGGCGAGUGGAAUUCCUGGUGUAGCGGUGAAAUGCGCAGAUAUCAGGAGGAACACCAAUUGCGAAGGCAGCUCGCUGGGACGGUACUGACGCUGAGGCGCGAAAGCCAGGGGAGCAAACGGG